rnacentral:lncRNA from 1 species
AAACUAAAUUGUGUAACACCUGUAAUGUCAACGUAUAGUCCUCUUUGAUAAGCCUAUGAAAGACGGAUUAUAAAAUUAAUUAAAAUGAACACAAUGAACGGUCGCGUUUCAACAGAGGUUUGAAGAAGUAAUCCUUUAAGUUAAUCUUCUUAAUCCGACUGGUGGUGUAUGACAAACAACAACAACUUAUACAUUCUUUCUCCAGACAAACGCAAAACAUUUAUAUAUACUAGUACGUAGAGGUUAUUAUUCAUGAUUACCCGGGACACUGGUUUACAUAUUCUGUACGUGGAGGUUAUAAUUAAUGAUAACCCGGAACACUAAAAUCAUUUGAACUUGAAGGUAAGAGCUUUUCACUAUUUUUGAUGAGAGCUUAAUAUCUUCCGUAUUUAACAUGUUCUCCUGUCCAGAAUAUGUUACACAGUAUUUAUCCGAGUCUAGUCAAUAUAACCUUAGCAACACAAUAGUACUACCAAUUGUUACCGAGAAAAUACUUUGUCCUGCAAUCAGAUUUUCCAAAUAACGUACUCAAAUAUUUUUUUGGAUUAUUUGUACGUGUAUUUGUACUUGUACAAACAAUGACUGCCGUUACUCUGCUUCUAUAGUGAUCAAAAAGUAUUGUGAGUAUUUCGUGUUAUGUUGCCGUUCAUUUUGAGGUUCUAUGUUCAGUACAGUUUCUUGUAUGUUCCUCCAUUAAUUGUGAAGCACUACCUGUAGGGUAUAAUUGCAGCAACUAUUAUACACCUUAAAACAAAAGGGUAUAUAUAAACUUAUGAGCAAAUGGCUGAUUUAAGGCAAUAUUAUUUUCAAUUCAUAGGAUAUUCAUUACAGUUUUAAACCAUACAAUUAAAUAAUUAUAAUGUGCUUAGGUGUAAUGAAAAGUUAGGUAGGAACUGAAUAAUAUAUAUACAAGUAAAAUUUGAAAUUUAAUUUUAAUUACGGCACCAGAUUCGCAUUCCCACAAUUAAUGUAUCUUCAGUGAUGCUCGAGGCCAAAUAUUUGAAAAUCCAAGGCUUAAUAAAAAUACGAAAAGUUAUAACCAAAAAAAGGGCAAAAAAGUAUAAACAAACCCAGGCAAAGAAUCAGAUCUUUGACUAAAAAGUAUAUAAACAAACCCAGGCAAAGAAUCAAAUCUUUGCACGAGGGAGAUACAUUCCUUUAUUUUAAAUAAUUUUAAAAAAAAUUGUAACACAACAUCCGUAUUUUCAUGCCAGUAUUUAAAUCAGUUUUCAUUUUAAAUGAUAUUGCUUAGUUGGAGGUGCUAUUCUUACACAAGAAGUCAUGAUGAAAAAAAUAUUUAAAAGGGUGUUAUGUAAAUCUGUUCAGAAUUAGAACAAUUCAACAAUAUACAUAAGUUUUCCUUUACAAUUUAAAACUACCUAAUUUUAUAGAUAUUGGCAUUAGUUUUAAAAUGUACUUAAUACACCUUGAAAACUUUUGUUUUUGAAUCUUCAGUUUUCAUAAAAAUUUAAUAUUCAAAUGCAUGGUAAAAAUAAGGAACUAAAAAUGUAUUUCAAAUUAUCACUUGUACUGAACUUGUGAUCAAUCUCUUAUCCUUUUUGUGUGCGGCAUUUGCAUCUCAUAGUACAUUUUUCUAGCCAGAGUUAUAAUGUGUUUAUACACAAUCAACGAGUAUGCUUUUCGUCCCGUUUCUAAAGCUCAUACCAAUAUUUUUUCCGACCAUUAUAACGGGGAAUAACCGGAUAUUUACUGACAAAACAAGCAUUUGAGAAAUUAAUUAAUUUCACAUGUAAUCUUUAAGAAUCUUUUAUAUCAAUAGAAGUGUAAUUCAAACAUUAACAUAAAAGAUUUUUCCUAUAGAUCUGUAACAGUUAGUUUUCUGUGACCAAUGACUUUUUAUUCAAGUAUAGUCGAGAGUGAUACCUGAAAACGAUCAGCCAUUUAGUUAUUUAAUUUGAGUCUUUUUGUCCAUAAUAGUCCUGUAAUAGCAAAAAUUUACUUCAGUGAUGAUACAGAUAAUAGACCCAUAUCAGUUUAGCAUACGAUCCUGGAAAAAUUUGGAAAGGAACUCCAUUGAUUAAUCGAUAACAGAAUGUAUUUGCAUUCUAAUUUGGGCUUAUAUGUAGACGUUACAAACGAAGAAAAGAAGGGGAUAUAUAUUCUAGCUUUUUCAUUGUAUUGUUAAAUCAUAUCGGCUUAAGCACAUUUUGUAUGAUUUAAUAACAAUAAUUGUUUUAAUAACUUUGUCAAACUUUAUUAACCUCAUCAGAAAAUAAACCGUCAUUGCAGUGUGUAAUAAUGUGUAUAUGAUAAUCACUUACUCGGAGUUCUCAGUCUGGAUUAUAUUGGUGUCUCAGGUUGAUAUGUUUGUAAUAUAGAAAAAAAAGAUGAUAUUAUAUUGUCCUUUUAAUUUUUCAGAGACAGCUAGAUAUGGGUACAACUGAAGCUAAACCAGUUUGCCAGCAUUCCUGUAGCAGUGCAGUGACUGUAUACACAGAUAUUGAACAGGAAGACUGGAUACGUAAUAAUACGACUGGGACAAACACAAAAAACAACAAAUCAAAUACGGAUCACCAAGUUAGCUCUUCCAAACGCAAUGAACAAUGCAGUAUCGUUAGUAAUAAAGUCAUCAGAACAAACAAAACAGUAUCACCAAGUACCAGCAAUAUUACAAACGUUGUGGAAUUAUACGGAAGCCGAUAAGGGCCAUUCAAAAAAAAUAUUUUAUGUCGUAAUUACGACAUAGCAUGUCGUAAUUUCGAC